rnacentral:rRNA from 1 species
AACGAACGCUGGCGGCAUGCCUAACACAUGCAAGUCGAACGAGACCUUCGGGUCUAGUUGCUCACGGGUGCGUAACGCGUCGGAAGCGUCCCGUAUGUUCGGAAUAACUCUCCGAAGGGGGUGCUAAUACCGGAUAAUUUCUGCUAACCAAAGAUACAUCGCCUUUGGAUGGGCACGCGUUGGAUUAGCUAGUUGGUAGGGUAAAAGCCUACCAAGGCUACGAUCGCUAGCUGGUCUGAGAGGAUGGUCAGCCACACUGGGAGUGGGACACGGCCGAGACUCUUACGGGAGGCAGCAGUGGGGAAUAUUGGACGACGGGCGAGAGGCUGAUGCAGUAAGGGCGCGUAAGUGAUGAAGUCGUGAGGGUUGUAAAGCUGUUUUACCCGGGAUGAUAAUGACAGUACCGGGAGAAUAAGCUCCGGCUAACUUCGUG